rnacentral:rRNA from 1 species
GACGAACGCUGGCGGCGUGCUUAACACAUGCAAGUCGAACGGCAAGGCCCUGCUUUUGUGGGGUGCUCGAGUGGCGAACGGGUGAGUAACACGUGAGUAACCUGCCCUUGACUUUGGGGUAACUUCACGUAACUGGAGCUACUACCGGAUAGGAGCUCCUGUUGCAUGGUGGGGGUUGGAACGUUUCGGCGGGUGGGGAUGGACUCGCGGCUGAUCAGCUAGUUGGUGGGGUAGUGGCUUACCAAGGCUUUGACGGACAGCCGGCCUGAGAGGGUGACCGGCGACAUGGGGACUGAGAUACGGACCAGAGGGCAACGGGAGGCAGUAGUGGGGAAUAUGGCACAAUGGGCGGGAGCCGGUGGCGGAAACGUUGGGGGCGUGAUGACGGCCUGCGGGGUGAAAACCGCUGUCGCCUGUGACGAAGCGGGAGUGACGGUAAUGGGUAAAGAAGCACCGGCUAACUACGUG